rnacentral:rRNA from 1 species
GGGUUUCGGCUCGUAAAACUCUGUUGUUAAAGAAGAACAUAUCUGAGAGUAACUGUUUCAGGUAUUGACGGUAUUUAACCCAGAAAGCCACGGCUAACUACGUGCCAGCAGCCGCGGUAAUACGUAGGUGGCAAGCGUUGUCCGGAUUUAUUGGGCGUAAAGCGAGCGCAGGCGGUUUUUUUAAGUCUGAUGUGAAAGCGUUCGGCUCAACCGAAGAAGUGCAUCGGAAACUGGGAAACUUGAGUGCAGAAGAGGACAGUGGAACUCCAUGUGUAGCGGUGAAAUGCGUAGAUAUAUGGAAGAACACCAGUGGCGAAGGCGGCUGUCUGGUCUGUAACUGACGCUGAGGCUCGAAAGUAUGGGUAGCAAACAGGAUUAGAUACCCUGGUAGUCCAUACCGUAAACGAUGAAUGCUAAGUGUUGGAGGGUUUCCGCCCUUCAGUGCUGCAGCUAACGCAUUAAGCAUUCCGCCUGGGGAGUACGGCCGCAAGGCUGAAACUCAAAGGAAUUGACGGGGGCCCGCACAAGCGGUGGAGCAUGUGGUUUAAUUCGAAGCUACGCGAAGAACCUUACCAGGUCUUGACAUACUAUGCAAAUCUAAGAGAUUAGACGUUCCCUUCGGGGACAUGGAUACAGGUGGUGCAUGGUUGUCGUCAGCUCGUGUCGUGAGAUGUUGGGUUAAG